rnacentral:rRNA from 1 species
UACGUAGGGUGCGAGCGUUAAUCGGAAUUACUGGGCGUAAAGCGUGCGCAGGCGGCGCGUUAAGACAGGUGUGAAAGCCCCGAGCUUAACUUGGGAAUUGCGCUUGUGACUGGCGUGCUGGAGUGUGGCAGAGGGAGGUGGAAUUCCACGUGUAGCAGUGAAAUGCGUAGAGAUGUGGAGGAACACCGAUGGCGAAGGCGGCUCACUGGCCCGGUACUGACGCUGAGGUGCGAAAGCGUGGGGAGCAAACAGG